UCGAGCGGACAGAAGGGAGCUUGCUCCCGGAUGUUAGCGGCGGACGGGUGAGUAACACGUGGGUAACCUGCCUGUAAGACUGGGAUAACUCCGGGAAACCGGAGCUAAUACCGGAUAGUUCCUUGAACCGCAUGGUUCAAGGAUGAAAGACGGUUUCGGCUGUCACUUACAGAUGGACCCGCGGCGCAUUAGCUAGUUGGUGGGGUAAUGGCUCACCAAGGCGACGAUGCGUAGCCGACCUGAGAGGGUGAUCGGCCACACUGGGACUGAGACACGGCCCAGACUCCUACGGGAGGCAGCAGUAGGGAAUCUUCCGCAAUGGACGAAAGUCUGACGGAGCAACGCCGCGUGAGUGAUGAAGGUUUUCGGAUCGUAAAGCUCUGUUGUUAGGGAAGAACAAGUGCGAGAGUAACUGCUCGCACCUUGACGGUACCUAACCAGAAAGCCACGGCUAACUACGUGCCAGCAGCCGCGGUAAUACGUAGGUGGCAAGCGUUGUCCGGAAUUAUUGGGCGUAAAGGGCUCGCAGGCGGUUUCUUAAGUCUGAUGUGAAAGCCCCCGGCUCAACCGGGGAGGGUCAUUGGAAACUGGGAUACUUGAGUGCAGAAGAGGAGAGUGGAAUUCCACGUGUAGCGGUGAAAUGCGUAGAGAUGUGGAGGAACACCAGUGGCGAAGGCGACUCUCUGGUCUGUAACUGACGCUGAGGAGCGAAAGCGUGGGAGAGCGAACAGGAUUAUAUACCCUGAUAGUCCACGCCGUACACGAUGAGUGCUA
rnacentral:rRNA from 1 species